rnacentral:rRNA from 1 species
UACGUAGGUGGCAAGCGUUGUCCGGAAUUACUGGGUGUAAAGGGAGCGUAGGCGGGAUGUCAAGUCAGAAGUGAAAAUUAUGGGCUCAACUCAUAACCUGCUUUUGAAACUGAUAUUCUUGAGUGAAGUAGAGGCAAGCGGAAUUCCUAGUGUAGCGGUGAAAUGCGUAGAUAUUAGGAGGAACAUCGGUGGCGUAAGCGCUUUACUGGGCCGUAAUUGACGCUGAGGAACGAAAGCCAGGGUAGCAAAUGGG